rnacentral:rRNA from 1 species
AGAGUUUGAUCCUGGCUCAGGAUGAACGCUAGCGGCAGGCUUAACACAUGCAAGUCGAGGGGCAGCGCGGGGUAGCAAUACUCUGGCGGCGACCGGCGGAAGGGUGCGUAACACGUGAGCGACUUGCCCGAUACAGGGAGAUAACCGGUGGAAACGCCGACUAAUAUCCCAUACGACUUGAGGCUGCAUGGCCUUGGGUUGAAAGGUUCGCCGGUAUCGGAUAGGCUCGCGGGACAUUAGCUGGAUGGCGGGGCAACGGCCCACCAUGGCGACGAUGUCUAGGGGUUCUGAGAGGAAGACCCCCCACACUGGGACUGAGACACGGCCCAGACUCCUACGGGAGGCAGCAGUGAGGAAUAUUGGUCAAUGGGCGGAAGCCUGAACCAGCCAUGCCGCGUGAAGGACUAAGGCCCUAUGGGUCGUAAACUUCUUUAGACGCAGAGCAAUAAGGGCCUCGUGAGGUCCGAUGAGAGUAUGCGUAGAAUAAGCAUCGGCUAACUCCGUGCCAGCAGCCGCGGUAAUACGGGGGAUGCGAGCGUUAUCCGGAUUUAUUGGGUUUAAAGGGUGCGUAGGCGGCGAAUUAAGUCAGCGGUGAAAGACCGGGGCUCAACCCUGGAAGUGCCGUUGAUACUGAUUGGCUAGAAUACCCUUGCCGUGGGAGGAAUGAGUGGUGUAGCGGUGAAAUGCAUAGAUAUCACUCAGAACACCGAUUGCGAAGGCAUCUCACGAAGGGGCGAUUGACGCUGAGGCACGAAAGCGUGGGGAUCGAACAGGAUUAGAUACCCUGGUAGUCCACGCAGUAAACGAUGAUGGCUAACUGUCGGGCCUACGGGUUCGGCGGCCAAGCGAAAGCGAUAAGCCAUCCACCUGGGGAGUACGACCGCAAGGUUGAAACUCAAAGGAAUUGACGGGGGCC